AAGAAUCGCCCCGUUUUUUGAAAUGGGUUCUAUUCCCAAACCGUGUAUACAUACCUUUGUUGCUUUGGCAGGCCGCCUUUUAGGCGUCGGCUUCGGCCGACUGCACCUGCCAGAGGACCCCAACUCUUGAUUUUAGUGAUGUCUGAGUACUAUAUAAUAGUUA
rnacentral:misc_RNA from 1 species